rnacentral:rRNA from 1 species
CCUACGGAGUGCAGCAGUGAGGAAUAUUGGUCAAUGGGCGGAAGCCUGAACCAGCCAAGUAGCGUGCAGGAUGACGGCCCUACGGGUUGUAAACUGCUUUUAUACGGGAAUAACGCGCCUUACGUGUAGGGCUUUGCAUGUACCGUAUGAAUAAGGACCGGCUAAUUCCGUGCCAGCAGCCGCGGUAAUACGGAAGGUCCGGGCGUUAUCCGGAUUUAUUGGGUUUAAAGGGAGCGUAGGCCGCAUGUCAAGCGUGCUGUGAAAUGUCCGGGCUCAACCCGGGCCUUGCAGCGCGAACUGGCGUGCUUGAGUCCGCGGAAAGCAGGCGGAAUUCGUCGUGUAGCGGUGAAAUGCUUAGAUAUGACGAAGAACCCCGAUUGCGAAGGCAGCUUGCUGCAGCGGAACUGACGCUGAUGCUCGAAAGCGCGGGUAUCGAACAGGAUUAGAUACCCUUGUAGUC